rnacentral:tRNA from 1 species
GCCUUCAUGGUGUAACUGGAAACACGCUCGACACGUAUUCGUGAGGUCCGGAGUUCGAAUCCCUCCGAGGGCA